rnacentral:rRNA from 1 species
CCUACGGGAGGCAGCAGUGAGGAAUAUUGGGCAAUGCCCGAAAGGGUGACCCAGCAACGCCGCGUGGAGGAUGAAGUCCUUCUGGACGUAAACUCCUUUUAGAGGGGACGAAAAGCCCGAUUUGUCGGGAAUUGACGGUACCCUCAGAAAAAGCACCGGCUAACUACGUGCCAGCAGCCGCGGUAAUACGUAGGGUGCAAGCGUUGUCCGGAUUCACUGGGUGUAAAGGGUGCGCAGGCGGGCUCUUAAGUCAAAGGUGAAAUCUCUCGGCUUAACCGAGAAAUUGCCUUUGAUACUGAGAGCCUUGAGUACGGGAGAGGGAGAUGGAAUUCCAGGUGUAGCGGUGAAAUGCGUAGAUAUCUGGAGGAACACCCGUGGCGUAGGCGGCGUCCGGGCCGACACCUGACGCUGAAGCGCGAAAGCGUGGGGAGCGAACGGGAUUAGAUACCCCUGUAGU